UNGAAACUGCCUGGUGCUGAUGCCAUGGU
rnacentral:piRNA from 1 species